CAGCCGCCGCGGGAAUACGAAGGGUGCAAGCGUUAAUCGGAAUUACUGGGCGUAAAGCGUGCGCAGGCGGUUAUAUAAGUCAGAUGUGAAAUCCCCGGGCUCAACCUGGGAACUGCAUUUGAGACUGUAUGGCUAGAGUGUGUCAGAGGGGGGUAGAAUUCCACGUGUAGCAGUGAAAUGCGUAGAUAUGUGGAGGAAUACCGAUGGCGAAGGCAGCCCCCUGGGAUAACACUGACGCUCAUGCACGAAAGCGUGGGGAGCAAACAGGAUUAGAUACCCGGGUAGUCCCUGUCUCUUAUAC
rnacentral:rRNA from 1 species